GAUGAACGCUAGCGGGAGGCCUAACACAUGCAAGCCGAGCGGUAGAAGAUCUUCGGAUCUUUGAGAGCGGCGUACGGGUGCGGAACACGUGUGCAACCUACCUUUAUCAGGGGGAUAGCCUUUCGAAAGGAAGAUUAAUACCCCAUAAUAUAUUGACUGGCAUCAGUCGAUAUUGAAAACUCCGGUGGAUAGAGAUGGGCACGCGCAAGAUUAGAUAGUUGGUAGGGUAACGGCCUACCAAGUCAGUGAUCUUUAGGGGGCCUGAGAGGGUGAUCCCCCACACUGGUACUGAGACACGGACCAGACUCCUACGGGAGGCAGCAGUGAGGAAUAUUGGACAAUGGGUGAGAGCCUGAUCCAGCCAUCCCGCGUGAAGGACGACGGCCCUAUGGGUUGUAAACUUCUUUUGUAUAGGGAUAAACCUACUCUCGUGAGAGUAGCUGAAGGUACUAUACGAAUAAGCACCGGCUAACUCCGUGCCAGCAGCCGCGGUAAUACGGAGGGUGCAAGCGUUAUCCGGAUUUAUUGGGUUUAAAGGGUCCGUAGGCGGAUCUGUAAGUCAGUGGUGAAAUCUCAUAGCUUAACUAUGAAACUGCCAUUGAUACUGCAGGUCUUGAGUAAAGUAGAAGUGGCUGGAAUAAGUAGUGUAGCGGUGAAAUGCAUAGAUAUUACUUAGAACACCAAUUGCGAAGGCAGGUCACUAUGUUUUAACUGACGCUGAUGGACGAAAGCGUGGGGAGCGAACAGGAUUAGAUACCCUGGUAGUCCACGCCGUAAACGAUGCUAACUCGUUUUUGGGCUUUAGGGUUCAGAGGCUAAGCGAAAGUGAUAAGUUAGCCACCUGGGGAGUACGUUCGCAAGAAUGAAACUCAAAGGAAUUGACGGGGGCCCGCACAAGCGGUGGAUUAUGUGGUUUAAUUCGAUGAUACGCGAGGAACCUUACCAAGGCUUAAAUGGGAAUUGACAGGUUUAGAAAUAGACUUUUCUUCGGACAAUUUUCAAGGUGCUGCAUGGUUGUCGUCAGCUCGUGCCGUGAGGUGUUAGGUUAAGUCCUGCAACGAGCGCAACCCCUGUCACUAGUUGCCAUCAUUCAGUUGGGGACUCUAGUGAGACUGCCUACGCAAGUAGAGAGGAAGGUGGGGAUGACGUCAAAUCAUCACGGCCCUUACGCCUUGGGCCACACACGUAAUACAAUGGCCAGUACAGAGGGCAGCUACCAGGCGACUGGAUGCGAAUCUCGAAAGCUGGUCUCAGUUCGGAUUGGAGUCUGCAACUCGACUCUAUGAAGCUGGAAUCGCUAGUAAUCGCAUAUCAGCCAUGAUGCGGUGAAUACGUUCCCGGGCCU
rnacentral:rRNA from 1 species